UACGUAGGGUGCGAGCGUGUCCGGAAUUAUUGGGCGUAAAGAGCUUGUAGGCGGUUUGUCGCGUCUGCCGUGAAAAUUCGAGGCUCAACCUCGAACUUGCGGUGGGUACGGGCAGACUAGAGUGUGGUAGGGGAGACUGGAAUUCCUGGUGUAGCGGUGAAAUGCGCAGAUAUCAGGAGGAACACCGAUGGCGAAGGCAGGUCUCUGGGCCACUACUGACGCUGAGAAGCGAAAGCAUGGGGAGCGAACAGG
rnacentral:rRNA from 1 species